CCUCCUCCAAGCUGCAUCGCCACGCCCCAUUAUCCAUUCCUAAACCGAAGAAACCAACCGAAGAAACCGAGAAGGAGAGCUCCAUCUCCCUUUUCCUUCUCAACCUCGCCGCCGACCGUGAAGACGACGACCGCCUCCAGCGCCAUUACGCUGCGGUCGUUUCCUCUUAUCUUGUGUUCCAUUAUCACCUCUCCACGCCGACUCCAUCCCUCUAAGUUUCAUCCCCUUUCAUGCAGUGGUUUGGUGGGAACGCAAACCUCGCCGACGAUACUCUGGAGCACGCACCGGGUGCCGCCGUGGCGGCAUCGUCGCCGUUGCCAUCGAUCUAGACCAAGCCGGAGCGAGCCACCACGCCACCAGCUUCACCUCGAGCGCCUCUCCAUUUACCCCCAAGAAACCCAUCCAAUGGCGCAGCGAUCUUGGAGAUCGACAUCGUCUUCUCCAACUCCGUUCAACCGCUUCCAUCAUCGAAUCCAUUCUCUCUGACCGAGCAGCCGACGUCAUCCCUGGAGUUGUGCCAUGCCGCCAUGGAGCUUCGCCGUCACUGUGGCUCUGCAGACACCCCCAGCCUUGUCUAGCAUCUCGGAAUAGGGUUGAUCUGCACCGGCAAGAUCAACAACCUACGGAGAGGUGUAUCGAUCGCUAAGGCGCAACACAACGUCUCGUACGGUUGUAGUCGGAUCGUCAACGUUUCUCCCAAAUCGUAGUUAUCACAACUCACCGAAAGAUCGGGCCAACAACAGCCUUGAGUGUUGAGAGGAACUCAGGGUUCAUCAGGUGGUAUCAGAGCUUUCGUUGCUCGGUGAGUUUUUAUCUUCCUAUAACCAGAAAAUAGCCAUACAAAAAAAUUCGUAUCAUUUACCUAGCCAUAUUGUGCCAUUGCAUUGUUCUUUUCAGUUUUUGCUUUGUUGAAUUUUGUGUUGCAUCGUCACGUCGUGUUGCUGGUCUUAGCGUCUAGUUCGUUUAGAGUUUCGAGUUCUGGUCACGUUUUGUACCACAGUCGUCGCUGCCACCGUGUCUCUGUUGUUGUCGGGACCUACGAAAAUGGAAUCGGCUCGCUGCCACGGUUCUAUUUUUGUAGUUUUCAGAAGUUUCUAUCGGUUAGUUUUGGAGUUCUUGAGUUGUAUCUAGAGUUUGCCGAUCCUUGUGUGUGUUUGUUUUGGCCGUGCCUGUGUCGUGCACGAGAGGAGGAAGGUGAAUUACCAUAUCUGAUUUUGGAAGUAGUCAAGUUUGUUUUGGAAAGAUAUAGUAGAUUGGAUUGGUUAAAAAUCAGUUUCCUUUUUAUCCCAUACACCAAAUUCGGCUGCCAUCCACUCCACCUCCUGGCCGAGUCCCACUCGCCCCUUUGGCCGAGUCCGACUCCCUCCCUCUCUUCCACCGUUCCGAGUUGUGUCAAACACCUUGGCGAAUUUUUGUUUGGUGUCGGUUUCGAGAUCUGUUUGGAAAAACGGAACCGGCAUAAAUUCAGCAUUCUAUUUUUUGUAUAAUUUUAAUUUUGGGUUUAGACUUUUACAUUUGAGUCCCUAUAAAUUUUAUAUUUAUGUUUGAGUCCCUGUAAUCUUACAUUAAGGUCCUUGAGUCAGUUUUUGUUAAAAAAAAUAAGAAAAAAAAGUGAGAAAAAAAAAGGCAGAAAGGUGC